rnacentral:rRNA from 1 species
AAACCCUGAUCCAGCCAUGCCGCGUGAGUGAAGAAGGCCUUCGGGUUGUAAAGCUCUUUCAGCCGGAACGAAACGGUCACGGCUAAUACCUGUGAUCACUGACGGUACCGGAAGAAGAAGCACCGGCUAACUACGUGCCAGCAGCCGCGGUAAUACGUAGGGUGCGAGCGUUAAUCGGAAUUACUGGGCGUAAAGCGUGCGCAGGCGGUUUUGUAAGUCAGAUGUGAAAUCCCCGGGCUUAACCUGGGAACUGCGUUUGAAACUACAAGGCUAGAGUGUAGCAGAGGGGGUGGAAUUCCACGUGUAGCAGUGAAAUGCGUAGAGAUGUGGAGGAACACCGAUGGCGAAGGCAGCCCCCUGGGUUAACACUGACGCUCAGGCACGAAAGCGUGGGGAGCAAACAGGAUUAGAUACCCUGGUAGUCCACGCCCUAAACUAUGUCAACUAGUUGUCGGGCCUUAACGGGCUUGGUAACGCAGCUAACGCGUGAAGUUGACCGCCUGGGGAGUACGGUCGCAAGAUUA